GGGGGGGGGGGGGGGGGGGGGGGGGAGAGGCGAGGCGGGCGGGAAGGGCGGCGUGCCCUUGUGGCUGGCGGGUACUCGAGUGGCGAACGGGUGAGUAACACGUGAGUGAUCUGCGCCCAACUUGGGUAUAAGCCUGGGAACCUGGGUCUGAUUCCCGAUAGGACUGCAGGGGGGUGCCUGUGGGGGGAAACGCAUUUCUAGUGGUUGGUGGUGAGCUCGGGGCCUAGCAGCUUGUUGGUGGGGUAAUGGCCUACCACUGCGGCGACGGGUAGCCGGCCUGAGAGGGGGGACGGCCACAUUGGGACUGAGAUACGGCCCAGACUCCUACGGGCGGCAGCAGGGGGGAAUAUUGCACAAUGGGCGGAAGCCUGAUGCAGCGACGCCGCGUGGGGGAUGACGGCCUUCGGGUUGUAAACUCCUUUCGACCGCGAGGAAGCCACCUGGUUGGAAGGGUGGUGACGGUAGUGGUAGAAGAAGCACCGGCUAACUACGUG
rnacentral:rRNA from 1 species